AUUGAACGCUGGCGGAAUGCUUUACACAUGCAAGUCGAACGGUAGAGGGGGCAACCCCUUGAGAGUGGCGAACGGGUGAGUAAUAUAUCGGAACGUGCCCAGUCGUGGGGAUAACGUAGCGAAAGUUACGCUAAUACCGCAUACGAUCUAAGGAUGAAAGCGGGGGAUCGCAAGACCUCGCGCGAUUGGAGCGGCCGAUAUCAGAUUAGGUAGUUGGUGGGGUAAAGGCUCACCAAGCCAACGAUCUGUAGCUGGUCUGAGAGGACGACCAGCCACACUGGAACUGAGACACGGUCCAGACUCCUACGGGAGGCAGCAGUGGGGAAUUUUGGACAAUGGACGCAAGUCUGAUCCAGCCAUUCCGCGUGCAGGAUGAAGGCCCUCGGGUUGUAAACUGCUUUG
rnacentral:rRNA from 1 species